UACGGGGGGAGCAAGCGUUGUUCGGAAUCACUGGGCGUAAAGGGCGUGUAGGCGGCCAAGCAAGUCGGGGGUGAAAUCCACUGGCUCAACCAGUGACGUGCCUUCGAAACUGCCUGGCUUGAGUAUGGCAGAGGGAAGCGGAAUUCCAGGUGUAGCGGUGAAAUGCGUAGAUAUCUGGAAGAACACCGGUGGCGAAGGCGGCUUCCUGGGCCAAUACUGACGCUGAGGCGCGAAAGCCAGGGGAGCGAAC
rnacentral:rRNA from 1 species